UGGGAGAGCUUCUCCCAUUGGCAUAGCUGUCUAUGUAGGGGGUUGGGCUGUUAUGAUUAAGUUGCUCAGGAGUGUGGGUUUUUCACACUCUGUGUGACAGUUAUACUGAUAUAGGUCUGUAUUGUAGACCUGGCUGAAGAGGCUGGGGCCUGAACUGGGGUGACCUGAUGGUGCUAUCUGGGUGUGGCAAGGGGCCUAAGCCAGCUAGGGAGGCACCUCAGAGAGCCUCUUUUUACGCCCACGUUGAAAGCACUGCAUUUGAUAAUGAUCGUAAGGACUGAUUAAAUUGCCUGAGAAUUUUUGCUUAGGAGCUUCCCCAACCCUAUUCUGCCUGGCUUCCUGCUUCAGAUUUAAAGCAGGAAUAGCAAUAUUCUCAGAAGAACCAACAAAAUGCAAAUAGAACACUGAAAACACCUCAUGAUCUCACACUAAGGCAACCUAUCAUGCGCUUGGCUUAACACGCACCCCCGCUUCGAGGUGAGUCGGGGCCUUGGACUCAUCCAGACUCCAAUCAUCAGCAUCCAGUGGCCAAAAGACACAGGUCCAGAUGUGGGAGAUUUAGCCCUCUGUCUGAGUCCCACAGCGGUCUACCCUUUCUAGAGUUAUUGUAAUUGAAAAUAUGAACAACCACCAGCAGCCCAUUGUGGACCUUCCAGGGACCCUCUGCAGGCCCCAUCACAGGCACAGAGGUGAAAAAUCUACCUUUUAUUGGACGCAAGUGGUCAGGAGUCAGAACCAAACUUUUACGUCUCCACUGAAAGUUGGCAACUCCAGCAGCACAUUCUCCCUAAACACUAUAGCCAGGCACCAGUUCUAUUCUGCCUCCGAGAAGAGAGUGCCCUCAGCUGAAUUACAAGCAGCAUUUACUAUAGUGUGCAGGAUUUCCCUAGCUGUUGCUCAUCCAAGCUCUGGCACAGCUUCCCCUACUUAAUUUAUGAAAGCUGAUGAGAUCACAGCUUGAGAUUGUAUGGCUACAGGCUAUAAUCCAAGAAGCUCCUGCAUUUGUAUUUACUAUCAGUGUUCCUUUGGUCU